UGGGGAAUUUUGGACAAUGGGCGAAAGCCUGAUCCAGCAAUGCCGCGUGUGUGAAGAAGGCCUUCGGGUUGUAAAGCACUUUUGUCCGGAAAGAAAUCCUUGGCUCUAAUACAGUCGGGGGAUGACGGUACCGGAAGAAUAAGCACCGGCUAACUACGUGCCAGCAGCCGCGGUAAUACGUAGGGUGCAAGCGUUAAUCGGAAUUACUGGGCGUAAAGCGUGCGCAGGCGGUUUGCUAAGACCGAUGUGAAAUCCCCGGGCUCAACCUGGGAACUGCAUUGGUGACUGGCAGGCUAGAGUAUGGCAGAGGGGGGUAGAAUUCCACGUGUAGCAGUGAAAUGCGUAGAGAUGUGGAGGAAUACCGAUGGCGAAGGCAGCCCCCUGGGCCAAAUACUGACGCUCAUGCACGAAAGCGUGGGGAGCAAACAGGAUUAGAUACCCUGGUAGUCCACGCCCUAAACGAUGUCAACUAGUUGUUGGGGAUUCAUUUCCUUAGUAACGUAGCUAACGCGUGAAGUUGACCGCCUGGGGAGUACGGUCGCAAGAUUAAAACUCAAAUGAAUUG
rnacentral:rRNA from 1 species